GACGAACGCUGGCGGCGUGCCUAACACAUGCAAGUCGAGCGAUGAAACCCUUCGGGGUGGAUUAGCGGCGGACGGGUGAGUAACACGUGGGUAACCUGCCUCAAAGAGGGGGAUAGCCUCCCGAAAGGGAGAUUAAUACCGCAUAACAUUAGUUUUUCGCAUGGAGAACUAAUUAAAGGAGUAAUCCGCUUUGAGAUGGACCCGCGGCGCAUUAGCUAGUUGGUGAGGUAAAGGCUCACCAAGGCGACGAUGCGUAGCCGACCUGAGAGGGUGAUCGGCCACAUUGGAACUGAGACACGGUCCAGACUCCUACGGGAGGCAGCAGUGGGGAAUAUUGCACAAUGGGCGAAAGCCUGAUGCAGCAACGCCGCGUGAGUGAUGAAGGCCUUCGGGUUGUAAAGCUCUGUCUUUUGGGACGAUAAUGACGGUACCAAAGGAGGAAGCCACGGCUAACUACGUGCCAGCAGCCGCAGUAACAC
rnacentral:rRNA from 1 species